rnacentral:rRNA from 1 species
AGAGUUUGAUCCUGGCUCAGGAUGAACGCUAGCGACAGGCUUAACACAUGCAAGUCGAGGGGCAGCAGGGGAGUAGCAAUACUCCCGCUGGCGACCGGCGCACGGGUGAGUAACACGUAUGCAACCUGCCCUUGUCAGGGGGAUAAGCGGGAGAAAUUCCGUCUAAUACCGCAUAAUACCUUAUGGGGACAUCCCCUGCCGGCCAAAGGGGGCGACCCCGGUCACGGAUGGGCAUGCGGCGCAUUAGGUAGUUGGUGGGGCAACGGCCCACCAAGCCGACGAUGCGUAGGGGUUCUGAGAGGAAGGUCCCCCACAUUGGAACUGAGACACGGUCCAAACUCCUACGGGAGGCAGCAGUGAGGAAUAUUGGUCAAUGGCCGGAAGGCUGAACCAGCCAAGUCGCGUGAGGGAAUAAGGCCCUACGGGUCGUAAACCUCUUUUGCCAGGGAGCAAUGCCGUCCACGUGUGGACGGAAGGAGAGUACCUGGAGAAAAAGCAUCGGCUAACUCCGUGCCAGCAGCCGCGGUAAUACGGAGGAUGCGAGCGUUAUCCGGAUUUAUUGGGUUUAAAGGGUGCGUAGGCGGCCUGCCAAGUCAGCGGUAAAAUUGCGGGGCUCAACCCCGUACAGCCGUUGAAACUGCCGGGCUCGAGUGGGCGAGAAGUAUGCGGAAUGCGUGGUGUAGCGGUGAAAUGCAUAGAUAUCACGCAGAACCCCGAUUGCGAAGGCAGCAUACCGGCGCCCGACUGACGCUGAGGCACGAAAGUGCGGGGAUCAAACAGGAUUAGAUACCCUGGUAGUCCGCACAGUAAACGAUGAAUGCUAGCUGUCCGGGGGGAUUGACCCCUGGGUGGCACAGCGAAAGCGUUAAGCAUUCCACCUGGGGAGUACGCCGGCAACGGUGAAACUCAAAGGAAUUGACGGGGGCCCGCACAAGCGGAGGAACAUUUGGUUUAAUUCGAUGAUACGCGAGGAACCUUACCCGGGCUCAAACGUAGAAUGACAGACGGUGAAAGCCGUUCUCCCUUCGGGGCAGUCUACGAGGUGCUGCAUGGUUGUCGUCAGCUCGUGCCGUGAGGUGUCGGCUUAAGUGCCAUAACGAGCGCAACCCCCAUCUACAGUUGCUAACAGGUAAAGCUGAGGACUCUGUGGAGACUGCCGGCGCAAGCUGUGAGGAAGGCGGGGAUGACGUCAAAUCAGCACGGCCCUUACGUCCGGGGCGACACACGUAUUACAAUGGCAGGUACAGCGGGAAGCCAUAUGGCGACAUAGAGCGGAACCCGAAAACCUGUCUCAGUUCGGAUUGGAGUCUGCAACUCGACUCCAUGAAGCUGGAUUCGCUAGUAAUCGCGCAUCAGCCACGGCGCGGUGAAUACGUUCACGGGCCUUGCACUCACCGCCCGUCA